GACAGAGGGUGCAAACGUUGUUCGGAAUUACUGGGCGUAAAGCGCGUGUAGGCGGCUUGGCAAGUCGGGUGUGAAAGCCCUGGGCUCAACCUAGGAAGUGCACUCGAAACUGCUUCGCUUGAGUGUCGGAGAGGAAAGCGGAAUUCUCGGUGUAGAGGUGAAAUUCGUAGAUAUCGAGAGGAACACCGGUGGCGAAGGCGGCUUUCUGGGACGGUACUGACGCUGAGACGCGAAAGCGUGGGGAGCGAACAGG
rnacentral:rRNA from 1 species